UAUCACCGACCCAACCAGUUGCCCCAUACCUGGGCACGGCCCAAAAGCAAUCGCGUCCGGCUCUCCUGAUGU
rnacentral:sRNA from 1 species